GACGAACGCUGGCGGCGUGCUUAACACAUGCAAGUCGAACGAAGUGGCAAACGGGUGAGUAACGCGUAUUCAACCUGCACUUCAGAGGGGGACAACAGUUGGAAACGACUGCUAAUACCGCAUACUGAAGGAGGGGAUUGCGUCGGAUUGGCCAGUUGGAGGGGUAACGGCCCACCAAGGCGAUGAUCAGGAGCCGGUCUGAGAGGAGGAACGGCCACAUUGGGACUGAGACACGGCCCAGACGCCUACGGGAGGAAGCAGUGGGGAAUCUUCCGCAAUGGACGAAAGUCUGACGGAGCAACGCCGCGGGAGUGAUGACGGCCUUCGGGUUGGAAAGCUCUGUUAAUCGGGACGCGGUACCGGAAUAGAAAGCCACGGCUAACUACGUGCCAGCAGCCGCGGUAAUUC
rnacentral:rRNA from 1 species